AAAUUGAAGAGUUUGAUCAUGGCUCAGAUUGAACGCUGGCGGCAGGCCUAACACAUGCAAGUCGAACGGUAACAGGAAGCAGCUUGCUGCUUCGCUGACGAGUGGCGGACGGGUGAGUAAUGUCUGGGAAACUGCCUGAUGGAGGGGGAUAACUACUGGAAACGGUGGCUAAUACCGCAUAACGUCGCAAGACCAAAGAGGGGGACCUUCGGGCCUCUUGCCAUCAGAUGUGCCCAGAUGGGAUUAGCUUGUUGGUGAGGUAACGGCUCACCAAGGCGACGAUCCCUAGCUGGUCUGAGAGGAUGACCAGCCACACUGGAACUGAGACACGGUCCAGACUCCUACGGGAGGCAGCAGUGGGGAAUAUUGCACAAUGGGCGCAAGCCUGAUGCAGCCAUGCCGCGUGUAUGAAGAAGGCCUUCGGGUUGUAAAGUACUUUCAGCGGGGAGGAAGGUGUUGUGGUUAAUAACCGCAGCAAUUGACGUUACCCGCAGAAGAAGCACCGGCUAACUCCGUGCCAGCAGCCGCGGUAAUACGGAGGGUGCAAGCGUUAAUCGGAAUUACUGGGCGUAAAGCGCACGCAGGCGGUCUGUCAAGUCGGAUGUGAAAUCCCCGGGCUCAACCUGGGAACUGCAUUCGAAACUGGCAGGCUUGAGUCUUGUAGAGGGGGGGUAGAAUUCCAGGUGUAGCGGUGAAAUGCGUAGAGAUCUGGAGGAAUACCGGUGGCGAAGGCGGCCCCCUGGACAAAGACUGACGCUCAGGUGCGAAAGCGUGGGGAGCAAACAGGAUUAGAUACCCUGGUAGUCCACGCCGUAAACGAUGUCUACUUGGAGGUUGUGCCCUUGAGGCGUGGCUUCCGGAGCUAACGCGUUAAGUAGACCGCCUGGGGAGUACGGCCGCAAGGUUAAAACUCAAAUGAAUUGACGGGGGCCCGCACAAGCGGUGGAGCAUGUGGUUUAAUUCGAUGCAACGCGAAGAACCUUACCUGGUCUUGACAUCCACAGAACUUUCCAGAGAUGGACUGGUGCCUUCGGGAACUGUGAGACAGGUGCUGCAUGGCUGUCGUCAGCUCGUGUUGUGAAAUGUUGGGUUAAGUCCCGCAACGAGCGCAACCCUUAUCCUUUGUUGCCAGCGGUCCGGCCGGGAACUCAAAGGAGACUGCCAGUGAUAAACUGGAGGAAGGUGGGGAUGACGUCAAGUCAUCAUGGCCCUUACGACCAGGGCUACACACGUGCUACAAUGGCGCAUACAAAGAGAAGCGACCUCGCGAGAGCAAGCGGACCUCAUAAAGUGCGUCGUAGUCCGGAUUGGAGUCUGCAACUCGACUCCAUGAAGUCGGAAUCGCUAGUAAUCGUGGAUCAGAAUGCCACGGUGAAUACGUUCCCGGGCCUUGUACACACCGCCCGUCACACCAUGGGAGUGGGUUGCAAAAGAAGUAGGUAGCUUAACCUUCGGGAGGGCGCUUACCACUUUGUGAUUCAUGACUGGGGUGAAGUCGUAACAAGGUAACCGUAGGGGAACCUGCGGUUGGAUCACCUCCUUACCUUAAAGAA
rnacentral:rRNA from 1 species